GGGUCAGUAGGUUGGUCGUGCCACCGGUACGUACUGGUCUCACUGAUUCCUCCUUCCUGAAGAACCGUAAUGCCAUUAAUUUGGUGUUGCGGGGAAACAGGACUGUUACUUUGAAAAAAUUAGAGUGUUUAAAGCAAGCUAACGCUUGAGUACACUAGCAUGGAAUAAUGAAAUAGGACGAUCGAUCCUAUUUUGUUGGUUUCUAGGAUUGACGUA
rnacentral:rRNA from 1 species